AUUGAACGCUGGCGGCAGGCCUAACACAUGCAAGUCGAGCGGAUGAAGGGAGCUUGCUCCUGGAUUCAGCGGCGGACGGGUGAGUAAUGCCUAGGAAUCUGCCUGGUAGUGGGGGAUAACGUCCGAAAAGGGGCCUAAUACCGCAUACGUCCCGGGGGAAGAAGGGGGGGGUCUUCGGAACCCACCCCAACAAGUGGACCCUAGGUCGGAUUAGCUAGUUGGUGGGGUAAAGGCCUACCAAGGCGACGAUCCGUAACUGGUCUGAGAGGAUGAUCAGUCACACUGGAACUGAGACACGGUCCAGACUCCUACGGGAGGCAGCAGUGGGGAAUAUUGGACAAUGGGCGAAAGCCUGAUCCAGCCAUGCCGCGUGUGUGAAGAAGGUCUUCGGAUUGUAAAGCACUUUAAGUUGGGAGGAAGGGCAGUAAGUUAAUACCUUGCUGUUUUGACGUUACCAACAGAAUAAGCACCGGCUAACUUCGUG
rnacentral:rRNA from 1 species